GCAAACUUGGUCAUUUAGAGGAAGUAAAAGUCGUAACAAGGUUUCCGUAGGUGAACCUGCGGAAGGAUCAUUACCGAGUGCGGGCCCUCGCGGCCCAACCUCCCACCCUUGUCUCUAUACACCUGUUGCUUUGGCGGGCCCACCGGGACCACCCGGUCGCCGGGGGACGCUCGUCCCCGGGCCCGCGCCCGCCGAAGCGCUCCAAGAACCCUGAUGAAGAUGGGCUGUCUGAGUACUAUGAAAAUUGUCAAAACUUUCAACAAUGGAUCUCUUGGCUCUCGCAUCGAUGAAGAACGCAGC
rnacentral:misc_RNA from 1 species